CCUGAGGUAAGCUCCCGUCCUCCACCACCGUAUCAAACUCCUGAUCCAUCAGCUGAGACAGGAAAUCCUCCACCUCAUACUGCUGCAGAUGUUUUCUCUGGUUUCAUCAGCCUGUAGUUCCACAUGUCGGCCAGCAGGGGCAACACCUGGUAACCUUCAGGUUCCAUCCGUCAGAAAUCUGCGGAAACCAACAGAACCAGAGCCCUGAAGAAACCUGCAUGAAUCGGUUCUGACCACCCGAACAGAACCAGUACCACCUCACUGAGACCCAAACACUGAAACCAGGACAUUUGAAAUUAAAUAAUUUAUUCACAGAGAGAUUCAUCGGAAUGUUGGAGGUUCUGGAUCUGUGGAUUGAGGUUCUGUUUCACUGAGAUGCUCAGAACCUGAACCUCAGAACCAGAACCCAGCACUGACCAUCAUAGGUUCCAUGGAAACAGAGCAACAGGUGAGCUCCUCAGGUAAACCCUCCUGCAGUUCACCCAUUUCUUACUAAACAUCUAGUGCAAAACUUUUAUUGUGAAAAGUCAGACUCUGACAGGAAGUGCUCUAGUGUUGUUAGUGAUGUCACAGACCCCCACCAGGCAGAAUGACGUCUCCAUGUCCAUUGUUGCCAUGGCAGCAUCACUGAGCUCCACACCAUCCCCUGAACACAACAUGUCUCCACUUCCUGUCUGACCUAAAGUCUGGUUUUCACAAUAAAAGCUCAGCAUCUUCAUGAUAAUGAUGGUGAUGAUGUCAUCAGGCUCUGCUCUGGUUGGCUGGUACCUGAGGAGGAGAGAAGACAGGUUUCAUCAUCGGUCAGGGGUCAGAUGUUUCUGUCGGGGUGGAGCUACUGAGUUCUGUCGGGCUCGAUCUUGGUGUCUCCGUUCGGUUUGUCGGUCUUCUGGGACAGCGUGGCUGCCUGGACGACCGC